GCUAAUACCGGAUAACAACAGAUGAUGCCUAUCAACUGUUUAAAAGUAUGGUUCUGCUAUCACUCUUGGAUGGACCUGCGGUGCAUUAGCUAGUUGGUAGGGUAACGGCCUACCAAGGCGAUGAUGCAUAGCCGAGUUGAGAGACUGAUCGGCCACAUUGGGACUGAGACACGGCCCAAACUCCUACGGGAGGCAGCAGCC
rnacentral:rRNA from 1 species